AGCUGAUCCAGCAACGCCGCGUGAGGGAUGACGGCCUUCGGGUUGUAAACCUCUUUCAGUACCGACGAAGCGAGAGUGACGGUAGGUACAGAAGAAGCACCGGCCAACUACGUGCCAGCAGCCGCGGUAAUACGUAGGGUGCGAGCGUUGUCCGGAAUUAUUGGGCGUAAAGGGCUCGUAGGCGGUUUGUCGCGUCGGGAGUGAAAACACCGGGCUUAACUCGGUGCUUGCUUUCGAUACGGGCAGACUAGAGGUAUUCAGGGGAGAACGGAAUUCCUGGUGUAGCGGUGAAAUGCGCAGAUAUCAGGAGGAACACCGGUGGCGAAGGCGGUUCUCUGGGAAUGACCUGACGCUGAGGAGCGAAAGUGUGGGGAGCGAACAGGAUUAGAUACCCUGGUAGUCCACACCGUAAACGUUGGGCGCUAGGUGUGGGGUCCAUUCCACGGAUUCCGUGCCGCAGCUAACGCAUUAAGCGCCCCGCCUGGGGAGUACGGCCGCAAGGCUAAAACUCA
rnacentral:rRNA from 1 species